AUUACACAAAUUUUUGCAGAGAUAGCUUUCAGAGGUUGAGCGGCUAAACUCUGUCCUCUGCCUACAUUUCCCAGAAUGCUGUGCGUUUCUGGAUCGGAGUUCACCAAGAGGUUGUAAAGAGGCACCUCAUCACAUCCUCAUCACAUCCUCAUCACAUCCAGGUACAGCGACUCCACCAUCGAUCUAUUUCACUGGACGACUCGUCUUCAUUAAACCUGAGCUGUUUUAAGGCGACGCCUGCAUGCAUGAGGGCGGGCAAGCAGCAAACACGCCGACUCAUCUCAAAUGCAAAGCAGGGUCAGGAAAGGCUCCCCGGCACCAUAUGUUUGUCGGCUGACAUUAAAGACAGUCGGCUUGUUGACUCCUACCUGAUUUAAACAACCAUAAAAGG